GGGGGCGGGGCGACGGUGUUCCCUCCUGUGGCGGCGGGUCGCCCCAGACAGCCCGGCAUCGUGAGGAGACACGAUGAGGCGAGUGGUAUGACAGAGCAAGUCUCGGCAUGUUUUUGGACAAGAGGUGAAAAAUGGCCAGUGCUAUGAUGACAUCCGGGUUUCUCGUGUGACCUGGGAUAGUUCCUUUUGCGCUGUCAAUCCCAGAUUUGUUGCCAUAAUCACAGAAGCGAGUGGGGGAGGAGCGUUCCUUGUGCUCCCUCUGCACAAGUGCUACUGAAGACUGAAUAAUGCAGACUUCAGGACAGAAGCCCAGGCCUCGCUCAGCCAUUUGAAGCUGCCACCCUGCUUGUUUGCCAGCAGUUUCAAGAUUGGUCACCCUUGUGUCAUGUGCCCAUUUCUGCCCAAUCAGCUGUGACUACGGAGGCUCAGUCACGUGAGUACCCAGCUUCCCUCUGAGAGCGAGUGGGCGGGCUAAGCCACGACUG